GAUGCUUUUGCUUCUCCCGUUGUAAAAAGGGCGAGGUGUCUCUCCCCUCAUCUCGAUGUUUCGUUGUGUACAUUACCUUUGUAUUAACUUAUCAGUGUCGCAACUGAACUACUGAAAAAGCCCAUUGCCCUGUACAUAUCUGCAGAACCAGAAUCAAAUAGAGAAGUUUUGAAGUGAGAUAAAUCAAGGGAUAGUGUUCCUCAUGC
rnacentral:sRNA from 1 species